AUUGAACGCUGGCGGCAGGCCUAACACAUGCAAGUCGAACGAGCGGCGGACGGGUGAGUAAUGUCUGGGAAACUGCCGGAUGGAUGGGGAUCACUACUGGAAACGGUAGCUAAUACCGCAUACCAUCAGAUGUGCCCAGAUGGGAUUAGCUAGUAGGUGGGGUAACGGCUCACCUAGGCGACGAUCCCUAGCUGGUCUGAGAGGAUGACCAGCCACACUGGAACGUAGACACGGUCCAGACUCCUACGUGAGGCAGCAGUGGGGAAGCUUGCACAAUGGGCGAAAGCCUGAUGCAGCCAUGCCGCGUGUGUGAAGAAGGCCUUCGGGUUGUAAAGCACUUUCAGCGGGGAGGCGUUACCCGCAGAAGAAGCACCGGCUAACUCCGUGCCAGCAGCCGCGGUAAUUC
rnacentral:rRNA from 1 species